CAGUAUGUCAGUAGGUGGGAUGAAAGAGAAAAGCCACUGGAAAUGGGUUGAAGAACAUUCGGAUGGGCAGUCCAUGUUGAAUAUGGAGAACAGGCGAGGCCUACCAUGUCAGCGGGACUGGCCUUGUGGCCAGGAGUCCUGAAAGCUGGUCAGGGGCAAUUGGGGGACAAAGUGACUCUUUACCAUAUGAACCCCAGGAGGAAAGGGGGCAAGAAUAGCUCUGAGGAGCAGGACCUUCAGCCUCUGUUGAUUGUUGUCUUUUUACAUGCAGUCAUCUGGGGAGAGAAAUGGAGGGGAAUGCAGAAAUUAGGGCUUUCGCUAAUCGAAAGCCAUAGCAAGCAUUCUGGAGGACUGGGUUCUGGGCUCUGUGGCUCUCCCCGGCCCUGCAGGUGGUAAGGCUCUGGGCCUUACUCUCUCUCAUCAGGUACAGGGGUCACUGUGUGGUGUCCAUUGUUCUCACUGCCUGUAUGGCUGAGGAGCUUGCCACAGUGGUUCAUCUUUCAGUCCUGAUUCCUUGCUGUGUCUUCUCAGUGCCCUUUGGUCAAAGACUUUACUGUCUCAUGUGAUGGCAAGAAGUCCUGAAAAUAGAAAGUGAAAAUUGUAUACAUGUAUGGCAGAGCAUGGUGUUCUGAUAUGUGUGACAGCAGGUUACUUGUGAAGUGAUGUGCACAUUUGGGAUGUUUUAUUUGGUGACUAAAAAAAUGUAGUGUAUGCAUCCCUGUAAGAAGGGGCUUCGGGUUCACCCAAUUUACAACCACAGGUUCAGUUAGGCUGUAGCGGGUGGCAUUGUUGGAAUUAGGAUGUUAAAGUGCGAAGACACUAAGAUACAUUAAACGUGAUGUGUCGCACUGAUGAAACACUUCAACUUUUCUCUGCCUUUCAUGCUGCAUAAGGAUUUCCAGAUGAUCUGCUGAGGUAAGGAGUGGAGACCAAGGGGAUUGAUUGCAAGCUGAUGCCCACAAAUUUCUAUUGGGAUUUCAACAUUGAAGAUGUCCUGAGCUGCUGUUGUUACUUUUUUAAAGUGUAUUUGGUAAUGCCCAUUAGAAACUUAAAUUUUAGGAUAAAAUUAGGAUUAAAUUCUAGUUCUAGCUUUGAACUUGCUGUAUGGUUGA
rnacentral:lncRNA from 1 species